UUGCUUUCUCUAAUACUAGGCAAAGUUCGCUAUGGCACAAACUGUUCAGGCUCACGGUCGCCUCCCCAAGGUCCCACAUACGGCCUGAUCACAGAACCAGCUUCUGUGACACAUGAGUAAACUUAAAGGAAGUAAGGAAGGUGUCAGCGUCACUACUCUGAAGAUGAAUGACAGAAAGUUUGGUUAGGUGACCUGGACUUGGAGGCAUGGCACUAAAAGAACAUCAGAGACCCUCUGCCCUCGACAGUCCCGGGGCUCCUCGCCUCCUCACCCGGUGACUAAGGUCCCGUCGCGUCGGAUCCCGAACUGCGCGUUCUGCAGUCCCCCAGAGCUGCUCACCAGCCGCCCAUCGCUCACCACGUUCCCCAAGCACUCGCCAGUGCCCACGCGGAAGAAGCCACCGUUCUGAGCGACGCGGCAACCGGCCGGGACCGCUGUGUCCUCCACAGUAGCGCGGCGCCUCUGCGCGCAACCUCCGGGUCCUCCGGGCUCCAGCACCGAGAAAGUGCGGAGGGGCUCGGCGACCCGCGUCAGGUGGCCGGCCACCGCGCGUCCCUCGAAGUGCGACACAAAGGUGCGCACGGCCGCGCGAUGGCUGGCGCCGGGAUUCGUGGGUGGCGGAGGCCAGCUCUCCUGCUCUGGGCUGCCCGAGCGCACCCGGGCGCAGUCCCGCGAGGGACGUCUGCGCGCGAGUGGGAUAUAAGGAUGGCUGGUGAGAUGCCUCAGCACAUAAAUGAACUCAUUGUGCAACUGCAAUCGAGACUCUGAACCCACAGAGAGGAGGAAGAAGAGAAUUGGCUGCAGAAAGUCUGGCCUACAUGUGAGCACCAUGGCCUAUGCACCACUCAUAUCACACAUACAGAUGGUAAUAACUAAUUCAACUUUCCAAGU